GGGCCCGCACAAGCGGUGGAGCAUGUGGUUUAAUUCGAUGCAACGCGAAAAACCUUACCAGGCCUUGACAUCCUGAGAACUUUCUAGAGAUAGAUUGGUGCCUUCGGGAGCUCAGUGACAGGUGUUGCAUGGCUGUCGUCAGCUCGUGUCGUGAGAUGUUGGGUUAAGUCCCGUAACGAGCGCAACCCUUAUCCUUAUUUGCCAGCACGUAAUGGUGGGAACUCUAAGGAGACUGCCGGUGACAAACCGGAGGAAGGAGAGGAUGAUGUCAAGUCAUCAUGGCCCUUACGGCCUGGGCUACACACGUGCUACAAUGGAGAGUACAGAGGGCUGCAACCGCGAGGGGAGCU
rnacentral:rRNA from 1 species